GAUGAACGCUGGCGGCGUGCCUAAUACAUGCAAGUCGAGCGAACAGACGAGGAGCUUUCUCCUCUGACGUUAGCGGCUGACGGGUGAGUAACACGUGGAUAACCUACCUAUAAGACUGGGAUAACUUCGGGAAACCGGAGCUAAUACCGGAUAAUAUAUUGAACCGCAUGGUUCAAUAGUGAAAUACGGUUUUGCUGUCACUUAUAGAUGGAUCCGCGCCGCAUUAGCUAGUUGGUAAGGUAACGGCUUACCAAGGCAACGAUGCGUAGCCGACCUGAGAGGGUGAUCGGCCACACUGGAACUGAGACACGGUCCAGACUCCUACGGGAGGCAGCAGUAGGGAAUCUUCCGCAAUGGGCGAAAGCUUGACGGAGCAACGCCGCGUGAGUGAUGAAGGUCUUCGGAUCGUAAAACUCUGUUAUUAGGGAAGAACAAAUGUGUAAGUAACUAUGCACGUCUUGACGGUACCUAAUCAGAAAGCCACGGCUAACUACGUG
rnacentral:rRNA from 1 species